rnacentral:lncRNA from 1 species
UGGGCUUAAAUAUUAAAAGAAAUAUUAUUAUUAGAGAAAAUCAUUAUUAGAUAUUGUAGAUUUUAAAAAGAUUUGGUGGUUAAUGAUAUUUUAAAAAGUAGUUAAAAGAGAAUAAGAGAAGAAAUUUUAGUGGUUUUAGAUAUAAACUGAGAGAUUUUAUUAAAACUAAAAAGAUAGAGAUAGAAUAGAAGAGAAGAGGAUAAAAAGGAUAAGAGUA